AACUACAUACAGAUAUGAAAAUUCCGUUGGCUAAUCACAGGGCCCAACAUUAACCCAAAUGAUGGAUAUAAAUAAUAACUGAACUUGGAACCGUUUUGUUGCAAGGAUGAGUCAUUCUUCUGUUGAAGCAUGUG